GGAUCACCAGCCCAGGGAUGGCACCUCUCACCAUGGACUGGGCCUUCUCCCAUUGGUCACUAAAUGAGAAUAUGCCCUACAGCUGGAUCUCAAGAAGGCUCCUUCCUCUGAUGACUCUAGCUGGUGUUAAGUUGACAAUACAAAGAUGACAACUAACAGAUUGCUACUGCAUGGAGACAAAGACGGAGGCAGAGUUAGCCUGUCCCCAGAGUCGCCCCGAGUGCUGAAGCCGUCUUUUGGUCAAGGCCAGCAGUGCAUGUGCAAAAUCUUUCUUGAGUUGAGAAUGGCCCUGUUAUAUAGUGAAGUGAAUCCCUGGCUGCAACAACAAGGAAGCCAAACAGGAACACAGAAGAAGGGGUAAAGCCAGAGACUCUUCAGGAGCUGGAACUGAACCUUGCGCUUGUCCUGAGUCUUUGUUCUGAGCUGCUACACUAAGUUGGCCAGAAUAAGAAGAAUUAACAGGAUAGUGGAUACCCCAGCAAACUAUUUUCAAACUCAAUAAGACCCAGCGAACACAAAGUGCUACCAUAUAGCCACAGAAGUGAUGGGGAGGAGAAGAGGCGGUGCUCAGCGUGGUACCAACACGCUGCUCUCAUCCACACACACGCAGGCCAGAGGCAUCUGACUCCACAAUGUGACCAGCUACCUCAUGCUCUCACCUCCAGUUCUGCUCUGUCAUAAUGAACGAUGUCUUCAAACUGUCAAUCACUAUAAACCCCUCCUUCCUCAAGUUGCUCUUGUCAGCCACAGCAACAAGAAAAGCAGAGACUGCAGCCGGCAUCCAUCUCUUCACACCAUUUUGGUAUGCUCUGGGUGUGGGUUGGACACGGAGGCCAAUGCUGACCUUGAACAGCACCAUGGCCACGUUUUAGACAUUGUGUAACAGAAGUGUCACACAUUGUUUGGGCAGAGGCUUCCCAGGGCCUUAGGAGACUUUCUCUUUGGGAGAGUGAGUUCAGCCUGCUUCCCAGGAAUUGAGGGUCUGUUUGUGCUCACAGCACUACAUUGCAGACUCCACACCUGUUGGGUGCCCACAUAGCAUCCGUGAGGACUGAGAAGGCUGGGGUAGGGGUCCCUUUGAGAAGCUCAUGGCUAUGGUGGCUGCAGGAGGAGAAGGUACAUUGUGAACCCAAGAGUGGGGUGUUCUUGAGGUCACUGUUUUUUAGCACAUGCUUUAUCAGCGUAGCUUUGUUUUCUUCUAUCCACUGUCAUUAGGGUUGUGGCAGCGUCCAUUCUAUGAAAUGCUUCUGGUUAGUGCUGGCAUCAACCACACCAUCUGUCAUGAUUCCAGAUGCACAAGGUCACUGCGGGCAGCCAAAAGCUGAGAAAUGGAGGGCCAGAGAACACAGAAAUAAAUGCACCCAGCAGUGUCAGCUCACUUCCACUGGCUGGGUCUGUGGAAGUACAGGCAGCCUCGUCUCUCAGCCUGUGUGACCCACACAGCAGAAUGGGUGACCACUGCUGUUAGGCGUUUCUCCUGUGUUGACUGGGGCUUCGAGCUCAGCUACGUCCAGUCCUACGAUAAGUCAGGUGAGCUGCUGACCACUGCAGCCUGACAGUGGAUGCCUCCCACAGCAGUUAUUCCAGUACGAAAGAAACAAAGCACCAGACUGUGGGUGAGGGAAGUAGAACUGACUGGCUUCUGUCUGGCUUGAUUGGGUUCUUGAUAGUGCCUCAUAUACACCUUGUAAUUUGUAAAGCCUGUUAGUAUAUUUCAUUUGUUUCUCUGAAAAUUUACAGAGAGUAUUAAAAAAAUUGUUAAUAAUGAUAUCCUUUAAAGAGAAAGGGUAUGGGGACUUUUACAUGGAACUUAAAUUUUUAUUUUUCCAAUUCCAAAUUCCAAAGGUUUAAGAAUACACGUGGAGAAAGAAGAAUAAAGAAAACGGGGCAGAGACUGGAGAGAUGCUCAGCAGUUUUGAGCACUACCCGCUC